CCUACGGGUGGCAGCAGUAGGGAAUCUUCCACAAUGGGCGAAAGCCUGAUGCAGCAACGCCGCGUGGGUGAAGAAGGCCUUCGGAUCGUAAAACCCUGUUGUUAGAGAAGAAAGUGCGUGAGAGUAACUGUUUACGUAUCGACGGUAUCUAACCAGAAAGCCACGGCUAACUACGUGCCAGCAGCCGCGGUAAUACGUAGGUGGCAAGCGUUAUCCGGAUUUAUUGGGCGUAAAGGGAACGCAGGCGGUCUGUGAAGUCUGAUGUGAAAGCCUUCGGCUUAACCGGAGAAGUGCAUUUGAAACUGGGAGACUUGAGUGCAGAAGAGGGGGGUGGAACUCCAGGUGUAGCGGUGAAAUGCGUAGAUAUAUGGAAGAACACCGGUGGCGAAGGCGGCUCUCUGGUCUGUAACUGACGCUGAGGUUCGAAAGCGUGGGUAGCAAACAGGAUUAGAUACCCUUGUAGUC
rnacentral:rRNA from 1 species